GACGAAUGCUGGCGGCGUGCUUAACACAUGCAAGUCGAACGGAAAGGCCCUGCUUUUGUGGGGUGCUCGAGUGGCGAACGGGUGAGUAACACGUGAGUAACCUGCCCUUGACUUUGGGAUAACUUCAGGAAACUGGGGCUAAUACCGGAUAGGAGCUCCUGCUGCAUGGUGGGGGUUGGAAAGUUUCGGCGGUUGGGGAUGGACUCGCGGCUUAUCAGCUUGUUGGUGGGGUAGUGGCUUACCAAGGCUUUGACGGGUAGCCGGCCUGAGAGGUGACCGGCCACAUUGGGACUGAGAUACGGCCCAGACUCCUACGGGAGGCAGCAGUGGGGAAUAUUGCACAAUGGGCGGAAGCCUGAUGCAGCAACGCCGCGUGCGGGAUGACGGCCUUCGGGUUGUAAACCGCUUUCGCCUGUGACGAAGCGUGAGUGACGGUAAUGGGUAAAGAAGCACCGGCUAACUACGUG
rnacentral:rRNA from 1 species